ACUGAUGUAUUCAACGAGUCUAGCCUUGGCUUACAGGCCCGGCUAAUCUUUGAAAUUUCAUCAUGAUGGGAAUAGAUCAUUGCAGUUGUUGAUCUUCAAU
rnacentral:rRNA from 1 species